CUGACACCCCAGCAGCUCUACAGACUGGCUGUGGUGCUGCAGCUGAUGAAGGCUGAGGACCAGGAGAACACAGAUCCAUUUUCCAAUGAUCUGAUCACACUGAAGGAGACACAGCAGAUGCUUAAAAGCAGUGACACCGUGUCCAACAAGGGAGAGAAUUCUCCCGUCCCUGUCCCCCCUCCCUCCUCUACCACAGUACCUGAUGUGUCCCCUAACCUGGCCCCUGCUGCCACUAGUCCCACCCUCACAGCACCUAGAGG